AACGAACGCUGGCGGCAGGCUUAACACAUGCAAGUCGAACGCCCCCCAAGGGGAGCGGCAGACGGGUGAGUAACGCGAGGGAACGUAGCCUUUGCUCCGGAAUAGCUCCGGGAAACUGGAAUUAACACCGUAGGAGACCUACGGGGGAAAGAUUUAUCGGCAAAGGAUCGGCCUGCGUUGGAUUAGCUAGUUGGUGGGGUAAUGGCCUACCAAGGGGACGAUCCAUAGCUGGUCUGAGAGGAUGAUCAGCCACAUUGGGACUGAGACACGGCCCAAACUCCUACGGGAGGCAGCAGUGGGGAAUAUUGGACAAUGGGGGCAAGCCUGAUCCAGCCAUGCCGCGUGAGUAAUGAAGGCCUUAGGGUUGUAAAGCUCUUUCACCGGAGUAGAUAAUGACGGUAUCCGGAGAAGAAGCCCCGGCUAACUUCGUGCCAGCAGCCGCCGUAAUAC
rnacentral:rRNA from 1 species